rnacentral:rRNA from 1 species
UACAGAGGGGGCAAGCGUUGUUCGGAAUUACUGGGCGUAAAGGGCGCGUAGGCGGCCUUCUAAGUCAGACGUGAAAUCCCUCGGCUCAACCGGGGAACUGCGUCUGAGACUGGAAGGCUUGAAUCCGGGAGAGGGAUGUGGAAUUCCAGGUGUAGCGGUGAAAUGCGUAGAUAUCGGGAGGAACAUCAGUUGCGAAGGCGGCUCUCUGGACCAGUACUGACGCUGAGGCACGAAAGCGUGGGGAGCAAACAGG